UACGGAGGAUGCAAGCGUUAUCCGGAUUCAUUGGGUUUAAAGGGUGCGUAGGCGGGCUAUUAAGUCAGUGGUGAAAUCCUGCAGCUUAACUGCAGAACUGCCGUUGAUACUGGUAGUCUUGAGUUUGGUUAAGGUAGGCGGAAUGUGUAAUGUAGCGGUGAAAUGCUUAGAUAUUACACAGAACACCAAUUGCGUAGGCAGCUUACUGAGCCGACACUGACGCUGAGGCACGAAAGCGUGGGGAUCAAACAGGAUUAGA
rnacentral:rRNA from 1 species